AGUAUGUGUGCUUUGCGUAAGUCUAUAUAUAUCAGCACUUUUAUCACUUUCUUUCCCUUAACCUCUGUACUUACCCUAGUUUAAAUUUUUUCCCUUCCCCUCUUUUCCUCCCUGUAGACUCCCCAGUGAAGAAAUAAAUAGUUUAUUGUUGAUUUGCUCUGUCUUCAUGUAAAUGAUUUAACAGGGACAAUUUUAUUCCUGUGGGUCCUGACCUUGUCCCUCUCUCGCUCUCUCUUCCUAUCUCUCGUCCUCGCUCGAUCCCUCUCUUGCUCUCUUUUUCUCUCGCUCUCUCUCUCUCUCUCUUCCUCUCUCUCUCUCUCUCUCUCUCUCUCUCUCUCUCUCCCUCUCUCUAUCCCUGCUGCAUAGCCUCCUCCUGUAGGCUGGACACUCCGUCCUUGUGGCUCUCCCCCUUCUCCCCCUCCCCACCCCAUCCUCCCCACUCUCCCCCUGCCCAGACCCUGUGUGUGUGAUAAAUUAUUCGUGGGCAUGCUCCGAGGGCCCAGGGCUGCUCAUUCCUACACACAGAGGGGCCGCAUUGAUCCGGCCUGUGGUUCAACUUAAUUGGAAACACAGUUAUACCUACUAGCUAGAGACACACUCGAAAACAUAUACACACACACUCACUCAGAACAAACACACACACAUAUGCAUACGCACAAGUAUACCCAGCACCAGCAACAUACUCCAGCAUGUACACACAGAUUCACACGAAACAUCUUCCCCUAUUAGCGGGCUAAAAAUAAACACAGAACAUUCGCUUGGAAAUAACUCUUACAGAUAUCAAACACUCACAGCUCCUAUACUCGCCAGCAUGCACACAUGCACACACAGACACACACGUAAACACACACACGUGCAGGCGCAUGCCUGCACACACUCACCACGCGCGAGUACACACACACACACACACACACACACACACACACACACACACACACACACACACACACACACACACAGAGAUGCACGCACACACACCCUACACUCGACUACAAUCGAGAGCAUCCUGGCGGGCUGUAUCACCGCCUGGUACGGCAACUGCUCCGCCCACAACCGUAAGGCUCUCCAGAGGGUAGUGAGGUCUGCACAACGCAUCACCGGGGGCAAACUACCUGCCCUCCAGGACACCUACACCACCCGAUGUUACAGGAAGGCCAUAAAGAUCAUCAAGGACAUCAACCACCCGAGCCACUGCCUGUUCACCCCGCUAUCAUCCAGAAGUCCUGACUUGACAUGGAGGGAUGUGCAGCAUCUGAUCGCCAUGACAGCCAAGGUCCCCGACCCCAAAGAGCCAGGAUGGAGUGUCAACGGAGCAGGGGACCACAUCCACGACAGAUACUAGUUACACACACGGUGUAAACACACCACACACAUCAUGUAUACCACAUAUACUGCACUGUAGCCAGUGUUGGGAUUAGUUACUUGGGGGAAGUAAUGUAUUACAUAUUACUCAUUGCGUUUAACAAAAGUAACAUGUUACUUUGUAUGGAAAUUAAUGCGCUAUAUUACUUUGUGUUACUUUCCUGAUAGUUUGUUUGAUUAUCGGGGGGAGUAAGGCGAGCUACUUACUAACUCAGGUUUGAUAACUGGUUUCUCUUUUCAUCUGUGGCACUGCUUUCCUGUGCUACUCUGCAAGUGCUGCUUAAUUAUCCAUAUAUGCUGUAAGCCAAAGAUCUGUACAGAUUUACUAUCUUUUCAGUCGAAGUCUUUCUCUAGAGCCUCCAGUUCUGGUUAUUGAGCGCACGAACAUGGACCCAUAGAGACGUAUAGAUGACACACUUGCCACUAUCACAGAAGCAAUCAAUGGCAAAGAGCAGAGGUUUAUCCUCUAUACGCUUUCAUGGAGGUAGCUGUCAUGACAUUUCUUUCUCCGCUCGCUUGCGAGCACUAAAUUAAGUUGAGAUCGGAUCAUGGAAACGCGCCCAGUAGCGAUAGGAUUCUGAAAGUAACGCAUGCAUUAGUUGACAAAGUAACUGUAACAAUAUUACCCAAUUUUAAAAAGAACGCUACUUUACUCCGUUACUCAUACAAGUAAUCUGAUUACGUAACAUGCUACUUUUGUAGCACAUUACCCCCAACACAUUACCCCCAAGCCUACAAACAGCGCACAUACCAUUGACAUAUCAUGAACAUGAUUUGACGCAUGCACACACACACACAGAAACACACACGCACAUACGAACUAGGGACACAUGUUACAUACACCACACACCUAUGGAAAACACACAUGCUACAGCCGAACAGUCCCACAGACAACACCUGUACCGUACACCACACAUCCUACACUACAGACAACAUAUAUCUAUAUAUAUAUAUAUAUAUACCUCAGAUACUACACAAUGCUACUGAUAUUACACCCACAUUGUAAAACAGACACCCGUUUAUGACUUGGGAAUAAAUGAUUUUAGCAGGACAGAAGU
ensembl:lncRNA